rnacentral:rRNA from 1 species
GACGAACGCUGGCGGCGUGCUUAACACAUGCAAGUCGAACGGAAAGGCCCUGCUUUUGUGGGGUGCUCGAGUGGCGAACGGGUGAGUAACACGUGAGUAACCUACCCUUGACUUUGGGAUAACUUCAGGAAACUGGGGCUAAUACCGGAUAGGAGCUCCUGCUGCAUGGUGGGGGUUGGAAAGUUUCGGCGGUUGGGGAUGGACUCGCGGCUUAUCAGCUUGUUGGUGGGGUAGUGGCUUACCAAGGCUUUGACGGGUAGCCGGCCUGAGAGGGUGACCGGCCACAUUGGGACUGAGAUACGGCCCAGACUGCUACGGGAGGCAGCAGUGGGGAAUAUUGCACAAUGGGCGGAAGCCUGAUGCAGCAACGCCGCGUGCGGGAUGACGGCCUUCGGGUUGUAAACCGCUUUCGCCUGUGACGAAGCGUGAGUGACGGUAAUGGGUAAAGAAGCACCGGCUAACUACGUG